rnacentral:rRNA from 1 species
AGUGAACGCUGGCGGUAGGCCUAACACAUGCAAGUCGAACGGCAGCACAGUAAGAGCUUGCUCUUACGGGUGGCGAGUGGCGGACGGGUGAGGAAUACAUCGGAAUCUGCUUUUUCGUGGGGGAUAACGUAGGGAAACUUACGCUAAUACCGCAUACGACCUACGGGUGAAAGCAGGGGAUCUUCGGACCUUGCUCGAUUGAAUGAGCCGAUGUGGGAUUAGCUAGUUGGCGGGGUAAAGGCCCACCAAGGCGACGAUCCGUAGCUGGUCUGAGAGGAUGAUCAGCCACACUGGAACUGAGACACGGUCCAGACUCCUACGGGAGGCAGCAGUGGGGAAUAUUGGACAAUGGGCGCAAGCCUGAUCCAGCCAUACCGCGUGGGUGAAGAAGGCCUUCGGGUUGUAAAGCCCUUUUGUUGGGAAAGAAAAGCAGCAGGUUAAUACCCCGCUGUUCUGACGGUACCCAAAGAAUAAGCACCGGCUAACUUCGUG